GUGUCUGUGAAUGCUUGGGUGGGGAAUGAAGCUCAAGAACAGAUGUUACCACCUUCAAAGGGAUCCUUCCAAAUGCAAAGCUUUACCUGCUGUACAGUUCUCCCUGGAAUGUAAAACUGUGGACAAAUGAAGAUCAGAUCAUUCUGGGAUUGGCUGAAAGACGUUUCUGUUAGUACAAAUAUCUGGGCUAAAUACCAUGGGCUACCCAUGUCCAGCUCCAUGUCCUCGGUGUCUGGGAUAAGGCUCAUCUCUGGUUUACCAAACCUGCUACUGGCAGCAAUGUCUAAGACACACAGGAGGGCAGGUAUUAGAACACCAUUCCCAGGUCAAGAGAAAGGCUCCAUAGCAAAACAGUGCCAGCCAGGUGGGACAGCAGAUUGGCUCGCUUUGGGACACUAUUUCCUUUAAGAUUCUCACUGAUGUUUAGUGUGGUUCCUCGGGCUGCAUCUAAUGGCGUGGCUCACUGUAUAUUGAUUCACCCUGCUGGGCUGGUACGCCAUAUGCCUG
rnacentral:lncRNA from 1 species